UUUGGGGGUUUAUUCGGAAUUUUACCCACCGAGGUAAACCCGGAAGAUUCUCCACUCCCGACUUUCUCGCUUCAACUCCUUCGACCUUCUCUACGCAGAUUAGAUUAUUCCGAACAAAUCAAUUUCUAAACUACCAUAUUUUCUGCAUAUUCACGACCACAUAUCAAGUUCAUCGUUGAUUCAAAAAAAAAAAAAAAGCAAACUCGGCACUCGAUUUUUCUGCAAAAAAAUUCAGGAAAUCGUCGGUGGUGACUGGUGAGUUUAUUUCGUUUUUUGGUGCUUAGGUAUAAAAUUUAUUCAAAACCCACGGCUGCGGCGUCGCAAAAAGUGAUACAUGGUGUUGCCGAAAGUGAGGGUUCGAGGAGGAAGGACGGCGCGACGGAGACGGCGUCGAGUUUCGAGGAGCAUGGUUUGAGUGUGGAAGUGAUGGCGGCGUUGCAGAAAUUGCUGAGAAGGGAGGAGCAUUUGCACGGUAUGCUGAUGAAGCCCAGACGCCCACGGGCUGUUGUACUGUGCCCAACGAGAUAUGCUGUGAUUUGUUGAUUUAGUCGCAGACCACCUUAUUCAUUAGACUGAAUAUUCUAUUCAUCAAUAAUUGUGUUAUGUUCAUUGAGCAAUUGUUAUUUGUUCAUUGAAAAAUUGUUAUUAUUCAUUACAUAUUAUUAUUCAUGAAUUUUCAGGAA